rnacentral:lncRNA from 1 species
CCAAGUAUCUCCAACCUCACUCCUUUCGAGUUUCACAGCCAUUACCAAGGCUUGGGUGCGGCAAAGUUCCCUAAGGGUUCGUUUGAACCCCUAGCGAAUACCAAGCUCCCAAAAAUGUCCCAAUUAGACAAGUGCAAACAUUGGAAGUGCCAGCCUUGUGCAUAAGAGUUCCAUGGGUGCUCAAGGCUCCCAUGGUAAUGCUUACACUAGGGGGCAUACCCUAAAGCUCUAAGAAUGAGAUUGCAAUUGAGAGAGUUGAAAACAAUUGAGAUACAAUUUAAGAAAAAUAGUUGGAAAACUGAAAAGUUGAGGCAGUUUUAAGAAGCUGUUGAAAGAGUUGAAAAGGGGCUAUUUUGAAUUUAUUUUAGACUGGCCAAUUUUAGAACAGCAGGGAAUCACACAAACAGGGAGAAGGGAAAGGGGACACAUAAGUGAAGUGAACUACAGACAUACAGACAACAUGUUGGAGGUAAUAAUCAGACAUGAUUGUAAGCCAAUGGUUCAAUUUCUUGCUGCAUCAAAUUCUAAUACGCUUAGCUUCAAAUAGAGAUUUUAGGUUAUACAAGUAACCAAUGGAUGAAUGGUAGUAGCACUCAAAGAAAACAUUCAUUAAGAUAGAGAGGGGAUAAGGGAGCAAAUAAGUAAAGUGCAAAUAAGCUAAGGGAAGAGACAAUAUGUUGGGUAAAAGUAAUCAGACAUAGUUAAAAAUAAGGGUUUAACUCUUACUGUACCAAACCCCAAAUUUAAUCAACCUCAGAGAGGGGUUUGAGGGCUGUUAAGUAGCCAAACAGCAGUGCACAUGGAAGAAGAACAUGCAUUGAGGCAGAGAAAGGGGAAUAGGGGAAAACAUGCUAAGUUAAACCAGUAGAAUAACCACUACAUGCUAGUGGCGAUAAGAGCAACUAAGCCAUAGGUAAAAGCACACAAGAAAUAAUAUGAAUUGCAAAACUAAAAGGAGCAAGUUGUUUUGAAGGCUAUACCUUAAAUAGGUGAUAUACUAGUUGCAGGUAAUAAGAUACUAUAGCAAUGUAAUAGUGCACAGAGGAGAGCAAAGUGUGCAAAGAAUGAUCAGCAGUACGAGUAACAACAGUAGGAGAACAACAACAGCAAUAUGAGAAUAGUAGCAACAACAGACACAAUGCAAACAAACCAAUAGAAUCUAAUAGUGUAAAGUAAUCAACCCCAAUUACUCAAUCUUGGUUGUUGGUCGUUGUGUUCAAAGAAGAGAAUGAGAGAGUAUAGUAAUAGCAGAGAAAGAGAGAAUUCAGAGUGUUUUAGACUGUGAGAGCAGUAUGUGUUGGUUCUGUUCAAAGAGAGAGGGGGGAGCAUUUAUAGUACUGAAACGAGUAAACAAAUAAGGUAUCAAUCUAUAUUUAAGGAACUGAUAUCAAUCAUAGUCAAACAAGUGUAGGGACUCCCCUUUAAUUAAGGACUCAUAGUAAAUGGUAAUAAACAGUCAUUUUUAAAAGGAAACGAACCACAAGGUAUGGCCUGACCACAUAAGGAAAUAAAAAUAGCAUAAGGUAUACAUUGCAGACUUGCAUGAUACAUAACUAAGGAAAUAUGUCAAACAAGUAAAUCAGCAUAUUUAUGCAAACAUGUAAGGAAAAUACCACUUCAAUUCUGGGAAAUAAUUUUUGAAAUUGAAAACUUGGGAGAUCAUGAUUGAGGAAGAAAAUUCGAAAUCAAUACCAAACUGCAAGGAAAAUACACAAAUCACAAUUUAAGGCUAGUAAUCACAGUCUUAAAGAGAGCAUUUAAUAAUCAGUAUAAAAUCACCAUGUAAACAGCCAGAAAAAAAAAUUAUGAGAAGAACAACAACAUGGUAUGGUAAUGAAACAUUAGCAACAAAAAUCAAAGUAAAGGGCACAGAGCUCAUAGAAGAAACCAGAAGAACAUGCAAAUAGGCAAAUACAGAUACAAACAUGUAGGGUUAGGCUUUUUAUCAGGUUUAAACAAAAUACUUUAGGAGUAGUACUGAUGAGCCACAGAUUAGUGCUAAAAUCAGAAAAGUGAAGUAUUUUCGAAUGGGGUUAAGAAACCCUAGCAAUAGAAAUUACAGUAUGAAAACCAAGUUAACAAGGAAAACAAAUAGACAAGUGAAAUAAACAAACACAAAUGGAUAUAUAGCACCCAGAAAGAGUAGAAGGAACAACUUUGAAGAAGGGGUCUGAAACCCUAACUUGAAAGAGUGGUAAUCAUCGAAAAGUUUUGAAAUAAUCGGAAAAGCUAAGUAGAAACAGAGUAUAAAACAAAAAAUGAACUAAGAGUUAUUUUAAAAGAGUAGAGAUUAAAGAGAAAAAUUAGGGUUUUCAAACAGAUUAGGGAAAUGAAGAACCUGGCUGUGAAACUCGUAUACAAUGUCAUUGAAAACAUCAUCGUUCAAAGAAAACCAGAGGGAAGCCGAAAACAGACCCCAAUUAAAGCUUCAGUGACCGUUUUCCAUGGCGAAAGCUGCUAGGCUUCAAGCUUAACAGAGAAACCAGGAUAUAGGGACUCCAUGGUUGCUGGAAGUCGAGAGGAGUGAGGGAUGAGUGAGCUGGUAUGGCGAUGCAGGCCAUGAAAGAACCAGAAGAUUCUAGAGAGAUGAAGGGUUAGAGAGCGUUUGGGAGUGAAAG